GCCGGUGUGGCGGAAUUGGCAGACGCGCUAGAUUCAAAAUCUGGUUCCCGCAAGGGAGUGGUGGUUCGAGCCCACUCACCGGUA
rnacentral:tRNA from 1 species